rnacentral:rRNA from 1 species
GUGUCGUCAGCUCGUGUCGUGAGAUGUUGGGUUAAGUCCCGCAACGAGCGCAACCCUCGCCUCUAGUUGCCAGCAUUCGGUUGGGCACUCUAGAGGGGACUGCCGGCGACAAGUCGGAGGAAGGUGGGGAUGACGUCAAAUCAUCAUGCCCCUUAUGACCUGGGCUACACACGUGCUACAAUGGGCGGUACAAAGGGUUGCCAAGCCGCGAGGUGGAGCUAAUCCCAUAAAACCGAUCGUAGUCCGGAUCGCAGUCUGCAACUCGACUGCGUGAAGUCGGAAUCGCUAGUAAUCGUGAAUCAGAAUGUCCACGGUCGAAUACGUUCCCGGGCCUU